rnacentral:lncRNA from 1 species
UGCACGUUCUUUCUCUUCUCUGACAGGGCAGUCUGGCAGUGACAGUUUCACUUCACUACUCGAUAAUUUCGUUUUUUUUCGAGUUUCUGACAUUUUGUGCUGAAAAUAUAUAAAGGAUUGGAUUAAGGAACGAACCGUGAUCCUUUAACUACUGUUUAAUAGCCUUGAGAUUGAUCUUAUUUGUGAUCAAGUUCAUGAAUUGGUCUUAUAUUGUCCAUUUGGAAUUGUUCACCAAAGGAACAAAGAUUGGAAGCCUGGUCCAUGUCGCAAGACAGAUGCUGUAAGAAUUGCCGCAACAAAAAGUAUGGUUUACUUCCUCAAGACUAUGAACCAUAUCCUUGAUGAUGGACUCAGAAGACUGCACAGUUGUUGUGUAUUGUAAAGCUUCUUUCAAAGGCUUACACCGACUUAUACCGAAGAAGCCAACGGAGACGUGAUGUUGCAAAUGGUUCGUAAUGCUCAAAAGACCAAUUUGAUUUGUUAGCGUAAUUAAAUUGCUUAUUAUUGGGAAAGAAUAUAGCAAACAAAUGUAUACUACUGUGGGGAUAAAAAGAGUGGCGUCCAUUCUA